rnacentral:misc_RNA from 1 species
AAGUCGUAACAAGGUCUCCGUUGGUGAACCAGCGGAGGGAUCAUUGAAGAGUUGCAAAACUCCCAACCACCGUGAACCUACCUUCGUUGCCUCGGUAGGCGGCUCCAGGGGGAGCCUCCGGCCCGCCCCCACCGGGGUGGGUGCCUGCCGUAGGCCCAUAACCACUGUCGCUUAUUGGCUCUCUGAGUAACUACCAAUUAUCACAACUUUCAACAAUGGAUCUCUUGGCUCUG